GGACGGGGAGCACCACAACGGGUGGAGCUUGCGGUUUAAUUGGAUUCAACGCCGGAAAUCUUACCGGGACCGACAGCAAUAUGAAGGCCAGGCUGAAGACUUUGCCGGAUUAGCUGAGAGGUGGUGCAUGGCCGUCGUCAGUUCGUACUGUGAAGCAUCCUGUUAAGUCAGGCAACGAGCGAGACCCACGCCCACAGUUGCCAGCGUACUCUCUGGAGUGACGGGUACACUGUGGGGACCGCCGCUGCCAAAGCGGAGGAAGGAAUGGGCAACGGUAGGUCAGUAUGCCCCGAAUAUCCCGGGCUACACGCGAGCUACAAUGGUUGGUACAAUGGGUAUCUACCCCGAAAGGGGACGGGAAUCUCCUAAAACCAAUCUUAGUUCGGAUUGAGGGCUGCAACUCGCCCUCAUGAAGCUGGAAUCCGCAGUAAUCGCGUUUCAACAGAACGCGGUGAAUACGUCCCUGCUCCUU
rnacentral:rRNA from 1 species